ensembl:lncRNA
GCAGUGGUUAGCACACAAGCACUCGGAGACAAGAGAAAGAAAAAGAAGAACAGGGCUCCGCUCAGACUGACGAAGGGGAGCCAGGCUCAGCUUGACCUCCAGGACCCAGAAAGCGAAGAGAGAAGAGAUGCCCUGCAGAACCACACAUCCCUGGAUGACUCCACGACUCGCUGUCCACCUCCUCUCUUAGCUUUCACCGACAGACAGUGAAGAGGAUGAAUAAUGAGAAGCUGGCCCUGGUUCAAAUUAAGCAGACUGAGCACGGAACAAAACUGUUAAAUUGUGGUCUUCAAAAACAGCAAAGCAAAACCCUUCAAGAAAUGUCCUCAUCAAACCCCAAAGGGACCUGUCUUCACAUCACCCCCUCCUCACACACGCUGUGCCUGAUGAUGUGGCUGGUGAGGAACGAGCUCCACAGUCCAACUAAUUGUCCAAUGAUAGAAUUUUAGUGUCUCCUUCAUUAUAAAGUAACCUCUAAGUGUUAUUGAUCUAGGGAGGGUUGUCUCACCGUCAUGUGGUAUUAGAGAGCACAACUGCUCUGAGGACAUGCAUUAUUCAACAGGCAUCCUGACACAACGCCGCGCUCGGGCCGGGCCUCAGUAACCGCGACACUCUAUGCACACGCAUUAACACACACACACACACACACACACACACACACACACACACACACACACACACACACACACACACACACACACACACACACACACACACACACCGGGAAGUCUUGACUCUCCCUCAACUGAGUAGGAGGUUGUAUAUUGUUGUUCUGAUCGACCUCCUGCUCUAUUCAGGGGUUAAUCUGUAAUGAGCUAACUGGUGCCGCUGUCUGCUUUCUAUUCCCAACGAGUCAUUUGUGGACGUCGACCUUUCCCGGCAAACGCGCCGCAGACAGCAUCUGAGGAACAACAAGGUGUAUGCAGGAGACGGGCGGAGAAGAUGAAAUAAAGAGCGAGAAACAAAAAGGGAAAUAGAGCGUGUCCCAAUCUUAAAAUAAGGUUGUACGUAAUUAACUCAUCAACAUAUACUGGGCAUACAUAAUUGUCAAGCUUAAAAGAAAUGAAAUUGCAUUCUACAACCAGCAGUUCGGUCUUCUAUCAUCUGCUGAGACAUUUAUGUUUAAAAGAUGUUGUUUGUUCUGGAAAGAUUUAAAUUUUAAUUGUAGAAAAAGGCCAAGGGUUUAUUAGUUUGGUGCACACCAAGUACUAAUAAAUUCUACCUUAAUGCACGGAUAGCUAUUUACAAGAUAUGUGAUGUACUGCUUGAAUACCGUCCAGCAAUAAAGACAAGGAGGUAGUCACUCGCCUAAAAAAUAAAUAGACAGUACCGGUCUUGACUCGUUCAAAAGGAGAGGCAAUUAAUAAAAUGUCUUGUCGAACAGAAAAGUAAUCAAUAUGAUUGAUGGAGAAAAUUAAGAAAAAAGCUCAAGCUAAACUUACAAAGUGAUACCAAACUAUGUGAAUUCUACUUAAAGUUCCUAUGAGAAAUCCCCUUGAGGAUGCACAACCAAAGAUGUAGGAAAACAAAAGCACAUCUCAUCCAUAUGCUCAUUCAUCAUAGUUUAGCCUUGCCUUCAAGUCAAAUGGGCUGAGUCCCAUAUAAUGUAUCUUUGUUUUCACUGGUUGCAAUUAUCUAAGAGAUCAAUGGGUGUUAUCAAU